rnacentral:rRNA from 1 species
GACGAACGCUGGCGGCGUGCUUAACACAUGCAAGUCGAACGGAAAGGCCCUGCUUUUGUGGGGUGCUCGAGUGGCGAACGGGUGAGUAACACGUGAGUAACCUGCCCUUGACUUUGGGAUAACUUCAGGAAACUGGGGCUAAUACCGGAUAGGAGCUCCUGCUGCAUGGUGGGGGUUGGAAAGUUUCGGCGGUUGGGGAUGGACUCGCGGCUUAUCAGCUUGUUGGUGGGGUAGUGGCUUACCAAGGCUUUGACGGGUAGCCGGCCUGAGAGGGUGACCGGCCACAUUGGGACUGAGAUACGGCCCAGACUCCUACGGGAGGCAGCAGUGGGGAAUAUUGCACAAUGGGCGGAAGCCUGAUGCAGCAACGCCGCGUGCGGGAUGACGGCCUUCGGGCUGUAAACCGCUUUCGAAUGUGACGAAGCGUGAGUGACGGUAAUGGGUAAAGAAGCACCGGCUAACUACGUG